rnacentral:rRNA from 1 species
GUCUUUUUGAUUAUAAUUUAAAGUCUAACCUGCCCAAUGAGGAGUUAAAUGGCCGCGGUAUUUUGACCGUGCAAAGGUAGCAUAAUCAUUAGUUUUUUAAUUGAAAGCUGGUAUGAAUGGUUGGACGAGAAAAUAACUGUCUCGAUUUAAGUUAAAUUAGAAUUUUAUUUAUGAGUAAAAAAGCUUAUAUGAGUUUAAAAGACGAGAAGACCCUAUAGAAUUUAAUAUAUAUACAUAUAUAUUAUUUUUAGAAUUAAUAAUAAGUUAUAUGUAAUUAUAUUUUGUUGGGGUGAUAGAAAAAUUUAAAUAACUUUUUUUAUAUAAAAACAUUAAUGUAUGGGAAAAUGAUCCGUUAAUUACGAUUAUAAGAUUAAAUUACCUUAGGGAUAACAGCGUAAUUUUUUUUUAGAGUUCUUAUCGAAAAAAGAGUUUGCGACCUCGAUGUUGGAUUAAAAUUAACUUUUGGUGUAGGGGCUAAAAGGUUAGGUCUGUUCGACCUUUAAAAUUUUA